rnacentral:lncRNA from 1 species
AAAUUUUAAAUUUGGAAGAUUAGAGAGAGGUAUGAGAAUAUUUCAUUUUUGAAUGAGAGCCAAUUUCUAUCCCUUAAAUAAAAUUUUCUCAACCGCCAUGGUUAACAAUUCUCAGAGAAAAUGUAGAUGAAAUAGGGGAUUAUUUUGCUCGAAACCCAUUAAUUUCAUCCGGUACUAAACAGCUCUGUACAACUAGGCAUGCCGUUUCUUUAAGAAUUUUCAGGUGGUAAGGAAAUUUAUUUCGUUGUUUCGAUGGUUUUAAUGGUUUUUUUCUUUUCCUUUUUUGAUUGACCUGAGAUUAUUGGGAUUUUUUUUUUAGAAUUUAAUUUUCUUUAAAUUUUCUGUUCAUGGAAAAUUAAUCUGUUGUUUCUCGGAAAGUGAAAAAAAACGAAACGGUUGAGUUUGCUUUGUUCUUCAUUAUGAC